GUCUCAGUAGCAUAGUGGUUAGUACACAGCCCCGGAUAGGUUAAGACGCGGGUUGGAGUCCCACCUGAGAUU
rnacentral:tRNA from 1 species